ensembl:lncRNA
CUGCAUCUCUGAUUUGCCAGUUUCAUCAUAACAUACUAAUUCAUCAAUAAUCACUCACAAAACUGAAAACAUUUUCAUUUGUACAGACAUAUCUCACUCAUAUUCGGUCCUCUUUCUUCUUCUUUUGCUUGUGUCUACAGCAGCUACAUACAACCCAAAGGCUCUUUUAAGAGCCACAUCACGAGAGAGUCUUUUGCUUUCGGCACCUACAUACAACCCAAAGGCUCUUUUCAGAGCCACAUCGCCCAGCGUCCUUGGCUUUAUUUUGCGUCACCCUCCACUGCCGCCUCCACAGAGUUUCUUCCCCUGCCAUCUAUUAUUUUAAGACAUUACACAAUGAGUGAGGAAAAGAAAGAGAAAGAAAGGCAAUAUCUGAGAUCCUGGAGAGCUGCCAAACGUGUUUUAAAAAAAAUAGGGAAAAAAAACACAGAAGUAAAUGAUCCAGAACAAGUCCCAGGGUGUCAGACCGACUCUGAUGAUGCAUUAAGUUGUAUGGAGGACCACCUGUCCACUACAGCAUCGUGUACUUUGGAAGAAAGUGACUGGGAUGAUGACUUUGUGGAAGACAUGGACCUUGAUGAAAAUGACAUGACUGACCAGGAAGACAUGACUGACCAUGACAACAAAUCAUCACUGGGAACAGAUCUAGCAACCUGGGCAUCCCAAUUCCAAGUCAAAAACAAUGCUGUUGACCAUUUAUUAAAGGUCCUUCAGAAACACGGCCAUACAGACCUUCCAUCCACUGCCCGUACAUUGCUGAAAACACCAAGGCACGUGACAACCAUACAAAAAUCUGGAAUGGAAUAUUUCCAUUACCCCCUCCAUCAAAAGCUACUAGAACACCUGGAGAAGUACUCUGUAGAAGAGCUGCAAAACCAUGACAACAUCGAUUUGUCUUUUAAUGUUGACGGUCUACCGUUAUUCAAGAGCUCAGGGAAAGUAAUGUGGCCUGUCCUCUGUGCCAUCCACCUGAAUCCCAUUGUUGUUUUCCCCACAACUUUAACUUGUGGAAACCACCGGCCAAAAGAUCUGCAUUUUUUAGAAGAUUUUGUAGCAGACCUCGAAGACCUCCUAUCUAGCGGCAUUCAAUGCAAAGGUAAAAAACAUUGCAUAAAUGUUCUCUGCAUCGUCUGCGAUGCUCCAGCGAAAGCUUUUGUCCGGGGCACAAAGCUAUACUCAGGAUAUUAUGGCUGCGAUAACUGUGACCAAAAGGGUGAAUGGUUCAACAGAGUGACUUUUCAGGACACUGAAAACCUCACACCACUGGCCCAGCUUUCCAUGGAUAUGGUCAAGUGCUUCCCCAUUGACUAUAUGCAUCAAUCAUGCCUGGGGGUGAUGAAGAAGCUGCUGCUUAGUUGGACCAGUGGAGCGAGAGGAGUGAGGCUCUCCAGCACUCAAAAACUAGAAGUAAGCACUAGGCUUCUUCAACUCAGCAAUGAAAUACCAUCCAUCUUCUCUCGCACACCUCGAAGCCUGGUUGAGCUAGAGAGGUGGAAGGCUACAGAAUUUCGACAAUUCAUGCUGUACACGGGCAAGCUGGUGCUGAAAGGAAUCCUUGAGGAUGACCUCUAUCAACAUUUUCUGGCUUUCAGUGUGGCCAUGUGCUUACUAGUGUCACCAACACUAGUAAAGAGGCAUUCGGAGUACGCAAGAAACCUGCUGCACUACUUCGUCUGUAGAGGACGAGAGCUUUAUGGUGAGGAGUUUAUAGUAUACAACAUCCACUCUAUGCUCCACAUCACUGAUGACGCUGUGCAAUUUAACGGGCUUGACAGCUGCAGCGCAUUCAAAUUUGAAUCAUACCUGCAUACCAUGAAGAGGAUGGUGCGAAGUGGAAAACACCCUUUGAGACAGGUCGCCAAGAGGAUAGAGGAAAGGCAGCUAUCUCCUCUUGAAAUACACAGAGAGAAAAAAACUUCAAGUGCCAAGGACAAAGCCUUCUUGAUCAAUGAAAAUGGCUGUGAGAUCACAGAUGAAAUGGAAAAAGAUGGAAAAGUCCUUUGCAGGGUUUAUCAUAAUCCUCUACCAAUGUUCAUCGAGCCAUGCCACUCCUUUCUUGUGGGAGUAUACAAUUACAACAAAAAACAAACAUCAAUAAGAUGGAUCCCUAGAGAACAAGUGGAGAAGAGAGCAAUCAGAAUCAAUCAUGGGGACACAGUAACAUUCAUGGCCAUCUUGCAUCAACAGUGAAUUUCUGACAUUGAUAAUCAUGUACUAUAUUGUAGAAUUUUUAGAAGAAUCAUUGGUUGGAAUUGUAGCAGAAUGCUGGACAUUCGAAGAUAAUGGGCAACAAUAUACUUACUGGCCUACAAACAAUCAGACAAAACGGGCCAAAAAAGAAGAAGUCCCUGACGAAGAGAUCUGGAGCACACGAAAAAUCCGUGUUUUUGCCCAAACUGAUGAUUUUGAGAGGGCAUUAAGGUGGAGUAAAAAUGCUGAAUUGAAUUCCUCUGUAGAAAGCGACACUGGCAAUAAUUUCAAGAGGCCAACCAGAAAACCAAGCAGAUUCGAAGACAGCAGCGAUGAUGAGUGGGGAAGAGACACCUGGAUGCCUAACUUAAAGAGAAAGCGUCAAGAUGAACCCUUUCCUCGUCUCAAGGCAACAGCUGUAACAAAAAGGCCAAACAAAGCAGAAGCAGCUAAACUUCCAGUUCCACCCAAGCUGCAACCAACCUUCACAGAAUCUUCCCACCAUCCCACCUGUGACCCUUCAGUUCCCUCAUCACAAGAUUUACCUGAAGAUGUUGAAGAGCCUCCCAGACCAUCCCCAAUGGCAGCAACAGAAUAUUCAAAUGCAGAGAGACAACCAUGGACAAGGCGUCCACAAGAUUUUUCAGUGCCAAAAGACCUCAAAGAAACACUGCAGGUGCUGCUGCAGAAAGUAGACACCCUGGCGGCCUCCCAGAGGGAAAUUCUACUUUUACUGCGGAGGAACCAGGGUCGUCAAAGGGAGGAUGAUAUCUUGGACCUCAAGACAGCUCAGUGCAUGGAGGAAUUGGAGGACCUUGAGAACCACCUUAAGGACCCUGAAUUUAGAAAGAAAGUGACACACCAUCUCAGCCUUAUUAGUGGGGCCAGUCCAGGGGAGUGUGUAAGGAGGGUAAUGCGCGCAGUAGCCACUAACAAUGUAUGGAGCCACUACAGCCUGCAUGGGAAGCGAAAGAAGCUGGCUCUAAUUAAUAAAACAAUAUGUAAAGUUAUCACACGUAAGUCAGAAUGAUUUGUUUAUGAACAGAGACAAAUGUGCUACAAAUUUGAAAAUUUAAUUAUAAAGCUACAGAUUUUCUUGACUUUCUACAAGUCCUUUUCCACAUUUUUCACAACUUUUCUUUACUUUUUUUUUUUAACUGAAAUUAAAAAUGUAAAUUUUGACAUUGGAAUACUUUCUGUAAAGAUACUUUAAUUAGUAUGAUUUUUAUAGUAUGACAAAGUAGUAUGAUUAAUGAAAUUAUAAGUGUAUACAUUGUAUUUAAAUUAUACACUUGACAUUUCUAUUUAAUUUAUACACAAUUGAACAUGUGAAUAAACACUCAUAAAACAAGCACGAACAAAGUUCUGGCACUUACAUACUGUAACGGCUGUGACCUCUGUUUAAUUCCAGAUGCCGUCAUGAAAUGGAAAGCUGGUCUUGGGGAGAAGGAGAUAGAAAGUUUAAUAGCAGAGACUCUUAAACAUGCGCCGGCGCACAUAAAUAAAAGUGUCGAGGGACAUGUAGAGGAGUGGACGGAGGAGUAGAUGUGGAGGAGUAAAUGGUUCGGUGUUCAAGCUUCUGAAGAAAACCUUCUUUGUUCAUUUACA